rnacentral:misc_RNA from 1 species
UGGAAAUUAGGAAAUUGAAAAAAAAAAAAGAAAAAACUUUGAGGUAACAAGCAUCUCUGCUUUUUCGUUCUCGAAUAUUUACUUUUCUCCUCUCUUUCCAAUCUCGCCUCACUUCUUCCCUCUCUCCCUCUCUCUGGAGCUCGAUAUUGGAAGUAGAAAACCCCUAAUUUUGUAGGGACUGAAAGGGAGGUUUUGUAGUUGAAAUGGGGAAAGGUUCAAAGAUCAAUUGCAAGUCAGCUUCUCAUAAGCUAUUCAAGGACAAGGCCAAGAACCGUGUGGAUGAUCUGCAAGGAAUGUUCAUGGAUCUGCAGUUUGCUAGGAAAGAGAGCCGCACU